rnacentral:lncRNA from 1 species
CUCUGUCCUACCCCCUCUGUCCUCAGACCUCUGUCCUCAGACCCUCUGUCCUCAGACCCUCUGUCCUUACACCCUCUGUCCUUACACCCUCUGUCCUCAGACCCUCUGUCCUUACACCCUCUGUCCUUACACCCUCUGUCCUCAGACCCUCUGUCCUCAGACCCUCUGUCCUUACACCCUCUGUCCUUACACCCUCUGUCCUUACACCCUCUGUCCUCAGACCCCUCUGUCCUCAGACCCCUCUGUCCUCAGACCCCUCUGUCCUCAGACCCUCUGUCCUCAGACCCUCUGUCCUCAGACCCUCUGUCCUUACACCCUCUGUCCUCAGACCCUCUGUCCUCAGACCCUCUGUCCUUACACCCUCUGUCCUUACAGGACCCUCUGUCCUCAGACCCUCUGUCCUCAGACCCUCUGUCCUACAACCCUCUGUCCUUACACCCUC